GUUAUUCUCAGCGUUGGGCAUACAAAAAACCCCUGCUGUUCACGCAAGCACACACACACACACACUCCUCUGUACUGUACAACGGUCAGCCGUCAGCAUCUCUUGGUUUCUUGCCACGGCCUUAUCCACGUUGAUCCUAUUCCUACAGCCAGAGCGCGCCGGCGCUCUUGAGCAUGGGCACGAGCUCGCCGGCAAGGUGCAGCGCCAUGACCCUGUUGGUCCCGCCGACGAGGCUGCCGCCCACGAACACCGCUGGCAGAGCUGUGGUUCCGCGCUCAGCAGCGCUGCCGCCGCCGAGCCUCCUGGCAAGCUCGCGCUCCAUCUCCUGGCCCCGGGGGUCGCUGUCCAGCUCGUGCACCGCCGCGCUCACGCCAAGGCUGCUCAGGAGCGACGUCACGACGUCGCCCAUGCUGCAGUUGCUCGCCGUGAACACCACCACCGCGCGCUCUGACGCCAGCUUCGCCACGCGGUCCAUUGCCAGCUUUUCCGGUGGCUAUAUAUUACUGUGUGUCCGAAACUAGCUAGCACUCACAGCUCUUUGGGUGUGUGAGGUACGUAGAUGACUUGGAACUUGGAAGGUGAAUGAUGUGUGUGGUUGCUGCUCGAAAUGUUGAGCGGCUUCUUGACUUUUAUAGGCUGGAAAAGACUCGCACGUACUAAAACGUAAACUUAG
rnacentral:misc_RNA from 1 species